UUCCUCCUGCUGCAUUCAUUUCUCAGGCUUUCCCUUUAUCGUAUUGGCCUAAAUUUCUCCAAGUUUUAUAUAUACUAAACCACACUUGUUCUUUCCAUUAACACAAAAUACAAUUGGUUUCAUUUUUGUGUUGGCUACCCCCUGAAAAUAUCUUAUUUCUGCACCACUCUCUUGAUUUUCAAACCGAUGAAGAAUUCAUAUUAUAAGUCGACCAAGAUUCAUGGUCACCUAGCGACCAAGAUUCAUGGUCACCUAGAGACCAAGAAUUCAUGGUCAUCCACCUUUAGAUUUGAUAUCAAAGGUUGAGAUUAGAACAACAAAAGCACGUCAUUUAUUCUUCACCUUUGAUAUCAAAUCCAAGAGUGAGUGUGAUUAUACUGUUUCCUUGUUGCUUGAUACCAUGAGAACAUUUAUGUUAAUAUUAUAUAUGAAAACAAUUUAUUUCUGUGGUUUGUUAAGCUUAUCAAGAGAAACUGAAACAAUAUUAUAAGUAGUAUGCUGUGAGUCGUCAAAAGCUAAAAGUUCUAACAGUUAGUGUGUAUGUUUGUCUCUCUGGUGGUUGCCAUUCGAUAGAUAUUCAUUUUCUGAAAGAUCUCAGUAUCCCAUAUGUUAUCUUGAUUACGGUCGAACAUUAGAAUUAGAUUAGUUUCUAUUUGUGUAAUUUACUUAAAUCUAUAUAUCUAAAGAGAGAGAUCAAUUAAUUUGGAAUUUCAUUAUAAGUAGCAAGCCGUCAGUUGUACCCAUGGCAAGAUGUUCUUACAUGACAGUACUUCUUUAAUUAUCUAAAUCUAUGAGAGAGAGUGUGUGUAUAUAUGUAUACAUAUAUGUUGAUUAUAUAUAUAUAUAUAUAUGCGCGUGUGCCUCUGUGUGUGUGUGUGUAUGUUCAUUAUUGAUAUCAUCAAAUGUAUAUGACAGUAUAGUUUUUGUUUGUGCAUGUGUCGC
rnacentral:lncRNA from 1 species